CUGUGUGCACCAUGGCCUGGACUCCUCUCUUCCUCGUGCUCCUCUCUCACUGCACAGCUUCCCUCUCCCAGCCUGUGCUGACUCAGCCGCCCUCCCUGUCUGCAUCUCUGGGAGCCACAGCCAGACUCACCUGCACCCUCAGCAGUGGCUCCAGUGUUGGCAGCUACUACAUAUACUGGUACCAGCAGAAGCCAGGGAGCCCUCCCCGGUAUCUCCUGUACUACUACUCAGACUCAAGCAAGCACCAGGGCUCCGGGGUCCCCAGCCGCUUCUCUGGAUCCAAAGAUGCCUCGGCCAAUGCAGGGAUCCUGACCAUCUCUGGGCUGCAGCCUGAGGACGAGGCUGACUAUUACUGUGCUAUAUGGGACAGCAGCAGUAGUACUUACACGGUGCUCCAGAGUCACGGGGAAGUGAGACAGAAACCUCCCUGUGCCCUUUCUGCUUGGGCUGCCACCCUGGUUCUGCCUCGAACCAAGCCUUCCUCAUAG